rnacentral:rRNA from 1 species
UACGAAGGGGGCUAGCGUUGUUCGGAAUUACUGGGCGUAAAGCGCGUGUAGGCGGGCCGUUAAGUCGGGGGUGAAAGCCCAGAGCUCAACUCUGGAACUGCAUUCGAUACUGGCGGGCUCGAGUAUCGGAGAGGCUGGUGGAAUUGCCGGUGUAGAGGUGAAAUUCGUAGAUAUUGGGAGGAACACCAGUGGCGAAGGCGGCCACCUGGACGGUUACUGACGCUGAGACGCGAAAGCGUGGGGAGCAAACAGG